rnacentral:rRNA from 1 species
GACGAACGCUGGCGGCGUGCUUAACACAUGCAAGUCGAACGAUGAAGCUAGAGCUUGCUCUGGUGAAUUAGUGGCGAACGGGUGAGUAACACGUGAGUAACCUGCCCCGAACUCUGGGAUAACUGCUGGAAACGGUAGCUAAUACUGGAUACGACCUACGAAGGCAUCUUCUGUUGGUGGAAAGAAUUUCGGUUCGGGAUGGACUCGCGGCCUAUCAGCUUGUUGGUGAGGUAACGGCUCACCAAGGCGACGACGGGUAGCCGGCCUGAGAGGGUGAUCGGCCACACUGGGACUGAGACACGGCCCAGACUCCUACGGGAGGCAGCAGUGGGGAAUAUUGCACAAUGGGCGCAAGCCUGAUGCAGCAACGCCGCGUGAGGGACGACGGCCUUCGGGUUGUAAACCUCUUUUAGUAGGGAAGAAGCGAAAGUGACGGUACCUGCAGAAAAAGCACCGGCUAACUACGUGCCAGCCGCCGCCGUAA